ACGUAGGGUGCAAGCGUUAAUCGGAAUUACUGGGCGUAAAGCGUGCGCAGGCGGUUUUGUAAGACAGAGGUGAAAUCCCCGGGCUUAACCUGGGAACUGCCUUUGUGACUGCAAGGCUUGAGUGCGGCAGAGGGGGAUGGAAUUCCGCGUGUAGCAGUGAAAUGCGUAGAUAUGCGGAGGAACACCGAUGGCGAAGGCAGCCUUCUGGGCCAACUCUGACGCUCAUGCACGAAAGCGUGGGGAGCAAACGGGA
rnacentral:rRNA from 1 species